CUCAAAAUAUCCAUUUGGAUUUUAUUCUAUAUUCUAUAGCAUAUUCAUAAACUUGACGUUGCUGCUGUUAACCUAAAAAUUUUGUUAUUCUUUUUGACGUGUGUACAGCAUUUUGGUUUUCGUGAUAUUUUUGUUGGUUAUUCGGUAUUUAUUGACGAUAUUAUGGAAAAUAACGAAAAGAAAACAAACAGAAAGAUAAAUAACCCCAACAUCACGCUCUAACGUCAUAUGUCAAAACCAUGUGACAUAUUGCUACGAACGGCCGACGAGGAAAGAUAAAAUUUGUUUAUGUUGAAAGUCACCGAUGAAUGGUCUUAUGUAUUUAAAUGUUUUUAACUUUGUAACAACAAAUGUCAACGGCAACGGAAAAUCAAGUUUGUAAUUAUGAACAAAUUUAAACAUUUCGUGAGCUUCUUUGGCAAUUUUUUCAAAUUGAAAUAAAAUUUAAUGUAAAUACAAGUUUCACGAUAGAAUUUGAAGAAAAAUUUAUUUACGUUCGAUAUAAAAAACAUACCCAAAAUUUGGACAAUUUUUUUGAGCAAGCCUACAAAUUAGCUCAGACUAGCAGGUCGGAUAAGUUAGGUCUACCUGGAAAAAUGUUAGUAGUGAAACAAAGGAAUUAGUAUGGAACUAAAGUACAUUCAAUUCUACCAUCAUGGGAAAUAGUUAUUCAGUGCAUUUGAAGACUUUUUUAUUUAAUACCUACAACAUUAUGAUCUCUGGCAGUACGGAAGAUUUAAAUCAUAUAAUUUUAAUCGUGACGUUUCCUUUGUCUUUUUUGAUUCUUUAUGAUGGAUGUGAGGCGAAAAGCUGUAAUUUUGCGGUGUCGAUUCAGUCUCAAAAGAAUCGUAAAAUUGCGAUUCUUCCAAAUAUUUUCUUUGAAUUGUUCCGCAAGUAACAAGAUGCGGAUAAAUUAUCAACAACAAAAACACUUUCAUUGUUAUAUAUUAAUAAAAUAAUUAUGUUACUGUGUUUUGUGUAAGUUUAAAAUAAAACAUACUUGCAAUUCA